rnacentral:tRNA from 1 species
UCCUGGUUAGCUCAGUUGGUAGAGUGCUCCAUUGGAAAUGGAGAGGUCCCUGGUGCGAUCCAGGAGCUGGCG